GUAGGGGCGGGUCCGGCUCCGAACGCGGUCCCGCCCGGCGCCUUCCUCCGCGAGAGGCGACCGGAGCACGGCCCGGCCGAGCGGCAGCGGGACUCCGAAGUCCACCAACGGCGCGGCCGCGCUCCCCGCACGCCCGGCCGGCCGGCCCUGCGGGCCACUCCCGACCGCGGCCUCGCUCCUGCCCCGCGGUGACCGCAAGCCCCCCUGCGGCCCCUCCUCGUCGCCUGUCCGUCCCCGCUGUGUCUUCGCUGUGUCCCCCGCUCCGUCCUUCUCUGUCCCCGUUCCGUCCCGCUGUGUCCCUCGCUCCGUCCCCGCCCGCCGACCCCCGGCGAUGCCGCGCGGCGCCACCUGGGCGCUGCUCUUGGCCGCGGCCCUGGGGCUCGGGGCGCGCGGCGUGCGCGGCGCUGUGGCCCUAGCCGACUUCUACCCAUUCGGCGCGGAGCGCGGCGACGCCGUCACCCCCAAGCAGGACGACGGCGGCUCCGGGCUGCGGCCGCUCUCCGUGCCCUUUCCGUUCUUCGGCGCCGAGCACUCCGGCCUCUACGUGAACAACAACGGGAUCGUCUCCUUCCUGAAGGAGGUUUCUCAGUUCACCCCAGUGGCCUUCCCCAUCGCCAAGGACCGCUGCGUGGUGGCGGCCUUCUGGGCGGACGUGGACAACCGGCGUGCAGGCGACGUGUACUACCGGGAGGCCACCGACGCAGCCACGCUGCGCAGGGCCACAGAUGAUGUCAGGCGCUACUUCCCCGAGCUCCCAGGCUUCUCCGCCACCUGGGUGUUCAUAGCCACCUGGUACCGCGUCACCUUCUUCGGAGGCAGCUCCUCUUCCCCCGUCAACACGUUCCAGACCGUGCUCAUCACCGACGGCAAGCUCUCCUUCACCAUCUUCAACUACGAGUCCAUCACGUGGACCACGGGCACGCACGCCAGCAGCGGGGGCGACGCCGCUGGUCUGGGGGGCAUCGCGGCCCAGGCCGGCUUCAAUGCGGGUGAUGGGCGGCGCUAUUUCAGCAUCCCCGGCUCACGCACAGCGGACAUGGCGGAGGUGGAGACCACCACCAACGUGGGCGUGCCCGGGCGCUGGGCGUUCAGAAUCGAUGAUGCCCAGGUGCGCGUGGGGGGCUGCGGCCAUACAACCUCCGUGUGCCUGACCCUGCGCCCCUGCCUCAACGGCGGCAAGUGCAUCGACGACUGCGUCACAGGCAACCCCUCCUACACCUGCUCCUGCCUCUCGGGCUUCACGGGGAGGAGGUGCCACCUGGAUGUGAACGAGUGUGCUUCCCACCCGUGUCAGAACGGCGGGACCUGCACGCACGGCGUCAACAGUUUCAUCUGCCAGUGCCCGGCCGGCUUCGGGGGACCCACUUGUGAGACAGCACAGUCUCCAUGCGACGCCAAAGAGUGCGAGAACGGCGGCUGGUGCCAGGCGGAGGGCGGCUCCGCGGUGUGCGUGUGCGCAGCCGGCUACACGGGCGCCGCCUGCGAGACGGAUGUGGACGAGUGCGGCUCUGACCCCUGCCUGAACGGAGGGUCGUGUGUUGACCUGGUGGGGAACUUCACCUGCCUUUGUUCAGAGCCCUUCGAGGGACCUCGCUGCGAGACAGGAAGCCACCCGGUGCCCGACGCCUGCCUCUCGGCCCCCUGCCAGAACGGGGGCACCUGUGUGGAUGCGGACCAGGGCUACGUGUGCGAAUGCCCCGAAGGCUUCAUGGGCCUUGACUGCAGGGAGAGAACCCCCAACAACUGUGAGUGCCGCAAUGGUGGCAGGUGCCUGGGGGCUAACACCACCCUCUGCCAGUGCCCUCCGGGCUUCUUUGGGCUCCUCUGCGAAUUUGAGGUCACGGCCAUGCCCUGCAACGUGAACACGCAGUGCCCCGACGGCGGCCACUGCAUGGAGUACGGCGGGAGCUACCUGUGCGUCUGCCACACCGACCACAACGUCAGCCACUCGCUGCCGUCCCCCUGCGACUCGGACCCCUGCUUCAACGGAGGCUCCUGUGAUGCCCACGAUGACUCCUACACGUGCGAGUGCCCGCGGGGCUUCCACGGCCGGCACUGCGAGAAAGCCCAGCCGCGCCUGUGCAGCUCGGGGCCCUGCAGGAACGGCGGCACGUGCAAGGAAGCGGGCGGCGAGUACCGCUGCGACUGCCCCUACCGCUUCACCGGAAGGCACUGCGAGAUCGGGAAGCCAGACUCAUGCGCCUCUGGCCCCUGUCACAACGGCGGCACCUGCUUCCACUACAUCGGCAAAUACAAGUGUGACUGUCCCCCAGGCUUCUCGGGACGGCACUGCGAGAUCGCCCCCUCUCCCUGCUUCCGGAGCCCGUGCAUGAAUGGGGGCACCUGCGAGGCCCUGGGGACAGACUUCUCCUGCCACUGUCAAGCAGGGUACACCGGACGCCGGUGCCAGGCAGAGGUGGACUGCGGCCCGCCCGAGGAGGUGACACACGCCACCCUGCGCUUCAAUGGCACCCGGCUGGGCUCGGUGGCCCUCUACUCGUGUGACCGAGGCUAUAGCCCGAGCACCUCCAACCACAUCCGCGUCUGCCAGCCGCAGGGCGUCUGGAGCGAGCCUCCCCAGUGCCACGAAAUUGACGAGUGCCGAUCCCAGCCGUGCCUGCAUGGGGGCUCCUGCCAGGACCGCGUCGCUGGGUACCUGUGUGUCUGCAGCCCAGGGCAUGAAGGAGCCCGCUGCGAGCUGGAGACAGACGAGUGCCUGACGCAGCCCUGCAGAAACGGAGGCUCCUGCAGGGACCUCCCAGGGGCCUUUGUCUGCCAGUGCCCCCCAGGCUUCGUUGGAGUCCACUGCGAGACAGAGGUGGACGCCUGCGACUCCAGGCCCUGCCAGCACGGAGGCCGGUGCGAGAACGGUGGCGGGGCCUACCUGUGUGUCUGCCCAGAGGGCUUCUUCGGCUACCACUGCGAGACAGUGAGCGACCCCUGCUUCUCCAGCCCCUGUGGGGGCCGCGGCUACUGCCUGGCCAGCAACGGGUCCCACAGCUGCACCUGUAAAGCGGGCUACACGGGCAAGGACUGUGCCAAAGAGCUCUUCCCACCAACGGCCCUCAAGGUGGAGCGAGUGGAGGAGAGCGGGGUCUCCAUCUCCUGGCGCCCACCCGAAGGCCCAGCCGCCCGGCAGAUGCUCGACGGCUACGCGGUCACCUACGCCUCUUCAGACGGCUCCUACCGCCGCACGGACUUCGUGGACCGGGGCCGCUCCUCGCACCAGCUCCGGGCCCUGGCGGCCGGCAGGGCUUACAACAUCUCCGUCUUCUCGGUCAAGCGCAAUGCCAACAACAAGAACGACAUCAGCAGGCCCGUGGUGCUUCUCACCCGCACGCGACCCCGCCCCGUCGAGGGCCUUGAGGUCACCAACGUGACCGCCAGCACCAUCUCGGUGCGAUGGGCUCUGCACAGGAUCCGCCACGCCACCGUCAGCAGCGUCCGUAUGUCCAUCCGCCACCCCAAGGCCCAGGAGGACGAGUCCACCGACGUGGACAAGGGUGUGGACAAGUUCACAUUCAGGGCCCUGCUUCCAGGAAGGAGAUACACCAUCUGGGUGACUGCCCUCAGCGGGCCUGGGGGGCAGGAGCACCCCACCAAGAGCCUGGCCUCGGCGCCGCUGCACGUGUGGACCCGGCCUCUGCCGCCAGCCAACCUGACCGCCGCCCGAGUCACGGCCACCUCCGCCCACGUAGUCUGGGAUGCCCCCACUCCGGGCACCUCACUGGAGGCCUAUGUCAUCAACGUGACCACUAGCCAGAGCAGCAAGAGCCGCUACGUCCCCAACGGGAGGCUGGUGUCCUACACAGUGCGGGACCUGAGGCCUGGGCGGCGGUACCAGCUGUCAGUGACGGCCGUGCAGAGCGCCGGGGGCGACCAGCUGCACAGCGAGCCCGCUCACCUGUACAUCAUCACCUCCGCAAGGGACGGCGCCGACAGACGCUGGCACCGGGAAGGACUCCCCCCGCGGGCGCUCAGAACCCGACCGGCCCCCGCGCGCCUGCCGGAGCUGCGUCUGCUCAACGACCCCGGCGCCCCCGCACCGCCGACCCAGGCCCCCAGGUUCUCGGAGCUCGUGGACGGCAGAGGACGAGUGAGCACCAGCUUCCGGAGCUCGCCUGGCAGACGGGUCACCGUGAGAUCACAACCCACGGCUCUGGUGCAGCUGGAGAACGCGGAGGAGGUCCCCGAGCAGGUCAGCCUGGCCCUCCAGCUCCCCGGACGCAGUGGUGACAAGGGCGUGGAAAGUGAAAUGGUUUCUGUGAACUGCUUUGAAAUUCUCCAACUAGAGAAAGAAAGGCAGAUGAUGCCCCUGGGAACUGCUCAGAAAACCCCUGUCAGAACGGAGGCACCUGUGUGCCUGGUGAGGAUGCCCACAGCUGUGACUGCACCCCGGGGUUCAAAGGCAGACACUGUGAGCUUGCAGCCUGUAGAAAGGUGCCCCAACCCUGCACACGGCUGUUCUCGGAGACAAAGUCCUUUCCGGUCUGGGAAGGAGGCGUCUGUCACCACGUGUAUAAAAGAGUCUACAAAGUGCAUCCAGACACCUGUUUCAAAGAGAGCUGUGAGAGCACGCGUGCCAGGACCCCAGACAGGUGCGUCCCAGGGAGGAGGCCCGUGCUGUGCCCUGCAGGUGGCCACAGGUGGCCCUGGUGACUGGGGCUGUGGGAUGCCACAGGCCCAUGGCUGAGCCAGGUUGCCAAGAUGUGCAGCCCGGCUAUGCUAAGGAACUGUGUGCCCACAUGUGUACAUGUGAGCGCACACAGAUGGGUAUAGCUGGGCAUGGUGGAUGCUGGUAGGGGUCACAGAGUGGGUGCUGGGGAGGUUACAUGGUGGGUGCUGGGAAGGUCACAGGGCAGGUGCUGGAGGGAGGUUGAGUGGUGGUGCUGGGGGGGGUCACUCUGGUUAUGCACAUUCACACAGUAUCUGGCACUAGUAUUGGGAAGUGUUACUGACAGGUCCAAUUAUAUAAAUACAGUAAAUCUCUAUUUACUUUUUAUUCACGCUCACCCAGGUUCUUUCCCCAAAGGGCUCAAGGUAGUCACAGAUUAUUAUAUAAUGCACUGCCUGAGUACAGACAGCAGAGUCCAAACCUCUGUCACAUUCUCCACAGACCAGUCACCACAUGCACCAGGUCUUGCGUUUCUGAGUCAAGGAAAAACCCACCCUGCCUUACCCAAGCGCAUCACCUGUCUCCCAUCACCCAUCCUCCACACUCCCUCGCACUCUCCAUGACUCACACCCAGCCAGGCAGCCUUCCUCAUCACUCCACGACUCCCACCCCAAGCCAGGUGGGCACACACAGACUCAAACGUUCAUCUCUGUGUCAGUGUCUCACUACCACACUCCCCAAACUGGAACACAUGUGACCUACAGACAAGACAGGAUCACAGCAGGCAGCCUGGGCCGAGGAAGCUGCAGAGUUACAGGGACACAGGUUUCUUUUUAAUAAACCGCAUUUCUCUAAUUAUUUCAGGAAACAAAGUAACAGUCCUACACUGAAGAAAUCUUAAGGAUCAGGAUGCUCUUGUUAACGCUCCAUCAACCUCACGAGUUUCUAAAGCCCAGGAAGACGAGGUCUAAAAUUGGAUUGAGAACAAGGUCCUGGCUGGAGUCGGUGCCCUGAGUGGCUUCUCUCCUCUGGCCUCUGGAAGACAGCCGGCCAGGCCAGGCAAGCACCAGCCACGACCAGGGAGACCUCCGGGACAGAACCCACACCUGACGUAGCCCAGGCUGCCGUCUCCUAGGGAGAAUGCGCACCCACGGCGCACACGUCAGCCCUGGAUGGCAAGGCUGUCCACCAGGAACGCUUCUGCAACCUUCAGAAACCCGUUCUCAGAUUCCGAAGUCAGAGAAAGAGUUCUCCCUUUGAGAGCUAGCAACAAAAUUGAGGAACUGCUCUCAACAGCUUCCAAAGCAGAGAUGGUGGGGCUGGGAGGAAGGGGCAGAGAUGAGGCCACACUGCAAGGACUUCGCCCGGCUCUCCUCCGCCAGCAGAUUAUUUAUGCUGCCCAUUCGCAGGCUACUGCUCCAUCAUACGGACCAGCUGACUCUGAGAGAGAAAAUGAUAACACUAAGACGGAGUUUAGACACUUUUUACCUACAACCUUUUCUGCAAAGGUCAGACAGUAUUCCUGGCUUUGAGGACCCUAUGGUCUCUAUGGCAAUGACUCAGCUCUGCAGUGGUAGCACAAAUGCAGCCAACAGACUUGUGACUGACCAGGCAUGACUGGGUUCCAAUAAAACUUUAUUUACAAAAACAGGCAGGGCCAAGUUGGCCCAUGCACCACACUGGGUUAAUCCCUGGUCUUCGAGGUCAUAGGCUUUGGCCUCUCCCCUGGAUGACAAGUCCCACCAAGGCACCAAAGACCUCAAGGGUUUCAUGGAAACCUCAAGGGUUUCAGACCCCACUUGGAAAGCCAAGGCAGCACCUCUACCAAGUCCAGCCAGGGCUCCUCCCACAAGCCUGAACGCGAUGCUGGUUAGGGUUUCUCUUAGUCCAGGACACAAAUAACGCUGUGUGGGGCUCUCAGGUAGUAAGCACCGUGUUCCACACGCUCCUCCUUCACACACAGAUCGCCGCGUCAUCCUGCCACCCCUGCUCUCUAGCACGCUUCUAAGCAGCGCUUGCUUCUCCCUGCAAAUGAGCUGAAAACCAAAGAAGCCAACCCCACCUCUAGUGUGCUGAACAUUUUAGCCGCUGACCCAGACUGGAACUCAAGCCCCCGUGCAUCUUCCACUGACUCUGCCCUGAGUCAGCAUCACAGCCACAGAAAGGGGCUCUUCCUUUCAUCUUUUAUAAAAAAAAUUUUUUUACAGAGUUAUAUUUUAGGCUUUUUAUUUUUAUUAAAGUUUUGUGUGCAUA